ensembl:lncRNA
UCAUGAGGGCCCCUCAACCAAGUCUUUAACUAGUCCUGCAACCGGGAUGAUGAGAACGCGGCUCUCAAACGCAGCUUGCAGUCUGCAGAGGGCUCGCAGGUCUGGGUGGCUGAGAACGUGAGUCCUGACCAGUUCCCAGGAGCGGCUGCUGGGAGCAGCGACCCGGUCGCACUUCGCCGGCCGGCCGUUCCUUCUGUCCUCCUCGAGUCUCCUUCCUUCACCUUUCGGCCCUCUUCGGGCUGCAUGUGCCCAGCAGUGGGCGCCAUGGUGCCUUCCCCACCUCUCCUUCCCCAGCUGCGGGCCGACCCUCCGCGGGUCUCCCCGGGAAUCGCCUCUGGCUGGGAGCUGCAGGCCCAGCCCUGACCGCCAGCUCGGAAGGCUGGAAACACCCAGCCGGGCCUGGGAGCUGGGCCGCUGUCCUCGGGCCGGGGCCCCCCAGUGUAGACGCCCAUAAGCCUCCAGCUCACGGCUCCAUUCAAGCCCUGCGCACAGACGGGCAGGGACCUCCGCGGUGACGGGGACGAUGCACGGCCCGGAGGCUUCACUACCAAGAAGCAGCAGGGUCAGGCGCUCGGCUCAGCGGGCGCUUUUCUCACAAUUCACCCACGAACACUUGCUUGAUCUACUGCACUGGGCUCUGGGGUAAACUCUGAGAUCCAAAGCAGACUAAAACAGAGCCCUUUCUAUGCAGUCCUUCAAGGUCUGGUGCAGGAGCCGGAGGGGAACAGGGCAGCCCCGGGAGAGCCCGCAGGGCCCAGAGAACAGCUGGGCCAGGACCCAGGGCCCCGUGCUGCGCCUCUCAGCCAAAGGGAAGCUUUCCGAGGCUCGGUGUCCUCGUCUGUAAAGGGGGGAGCAGUGCCUACCUCUUGCAGGGUCGGUGCAAGGUCUACGCCAGUUAAGGUGUGAAAAGUGGUCAGCGUCCUGAUUGUUAUCAUCGACGAUGAGUGACAGAGGUGGAGGACCUGAGGACCACAGGGGUGGCCGGAGACCCAGACAGAGAACUAACCCCAAGGCACCUGGGCAGGAGGGACGGGCCGGACAUCAGCAGUGCUGGGGGUUCCUCCUACCCUGGACCCCUAGGAUGUACGGGCCACAGGUCCUGCCUCAGCCGCAGUCACAGCUCCAACUAAGAAAAAGGGACGGGAGAAGGACCAAGACCUUGGAGCAACCUGGAUGCUGAUUUCACCCCAGCACCUCGUGUGCAUCUGGCCAGCCGCCCUCGGUGACUCCCAGCCCCCCACCCUCGCUCCCGGCCUGGAAAUACCCGAGCAUCUGCCGAAGCAGCUGCAGGUUAAAUUUAGCCCUGCAAAGCAGGACACCACAGCAGAGGGAGGGGCCGGUGCAGCCCCGCAGGUGUCAGGGCCACAGGCUACCUCCAGGGAAGAGGCGACACCUGGGAGGGAAGCAACGCCAGGGAGAGGGCGCCGUGGGGCCCAAAGCCGUCCUCAUCGAACACUAGGCAGCAGCACGGAGGGGCAGAGCAGGCAGAUGUAAAGCCCGGGCCCAGCAGGGCCUGCGCCUCACUGCAGCGCUAAUGUCCCACCGGAAAGCACUGAAAAGCAGAUUUUAUGUUUUGUGGGUUUUUAAUUUUUUUUUUUUUUCUGUUUUUUGAGACAGGGUCUCAUUCUGUAGUUCAGGCUGGCCUUAAACUCACGGCAAUCCUCCUGGCUCAGCCCCCCCGAGGGCUGGGAUUACAGGGGUGUGCCACCAUACGUGCUGUUGAAAUGUAGAUUGAUUUUUUUUAUUUAUUUAUUUAUUUAUUUAUUUAUUUAUUUAUUUAGGUACCGGGGAUCAAAGGCAGGCGGCAGAACCACUGAGCUAAAUCCCCGGCCCUGCAUAUUUUAAAAUAACGUUACCCAAAUAAAAUCCUGUGUUUGGUCCACACACUGGGGUGACCGGGUGGCCUGGUUUGUGCCACAGGUAGUGUCACCACCAGCCAAUCGUUCUUUCCUCAGUGCCCUGUGACUGCAAAGGACCAAGGGCUUUGAGCAUUCUUAGCUAAUUCGGUCUUACCGAGCCUUUUAAGGAAAGGAGAAAGGAGGGAGAGAGACUCAGCAUGUAGGAAUAAAUUAACAGGCAAGUUAGCACUAAUCCCUGUGUUCAUGACCAACUCCUACACCCGUCCGUGUCAGCUUUCCGUGGCUGCGGCAACAUCCUGAGAGGAACGACUCAGAGGAGGGAAGGCUCUCGGUGGCUCACGGCUCACGGCUUCACAGCAGCCUGGAUGGACUGAGACAUCUGGAUCACAGCCUGGUGGUCUGUUCUUCAACUUCGAAGCUCCCAAUGCCACCAUACCCCCACCCCCCAUAGCCCUCCUGGUCCCCAUCCUGCUGCCUGGGCAGAGAAGAUGUCAGCAUGUCUGCCCUCAGGGAUUUUGUUCUGAGCAUCACCUCUAGAGGCCCCAACUAAAAUUAAAUCUCU